rnacentral:sRNA from 1 species
GUAAAUGCGAGGAACGGGAGUAGUAGACCACUCCUGGCGGCCUUCAGAGAGCCGGUGGAACGAGGUGGGAGCCGGUGGCAUGCCGGGGGUCGAACUCGCCCGGGAGCAGUAGCGGUGAACUUCGUGUAGCCGCUACCGUCGGCAGGCGUUAACUGCAAUAAUCGAGUGGGUAAAUAGAUGGGGCUGUGGCGCAGCGGGAGCGCGCUUCCUUGGCAUGGAAGAGGUCGCGGGUUCGAUUCCCGCCAGCUCCACCAUUUAUUUGCCAAGCUGGGUGGUACCACGGGAAAAACUCCCGUCCCUGAC